GCCAGCCUGUACAGACCAGAGCCAGUCCGUUCUCUGCUAUUCAGCCCCUUGGAAGCUCCAGCCCAGAGCCACAACGGAAGCUUCUAAGGCGUCGCGCAGGGGGUGAAGUUUCUUCUCUUCCCUCCCAGCUGCAAAGAGCAAUUAAACCUGGUGGAGGCUGAGACCCAGAUCCCUUGAACCCGAGUUAUGGCUUCAGGUUGGAUCGCAGCUACCUUAACAGCCUCGGUGCUAAGUGCCCUAGGCAGAGCGGAGAUCCAGCAGCCCCUUUCCGCAGAGGCGGUGGAGGGAGAGAAAUUGACCCUGUCUUGCAAUCACUCUAAAGUGACCACCGAGAAGAUAAUGUGGUACCGCCACGUCCCCAGCCAGGCACCUCGGCUUUUGGCAGGUGGAUUCAGGGGCGAGACUCCCGGCACCGAAGCGGGCAGCACUUUAUACAUCGCUCAGGACAAAGCUUCCAGUGUCUUUGAGUUCCGCAGUGUGCGGCUGGUGGACGCAGCGGUGUAUUACUGUGCUCUGAGCGACACAGCGUGA